UAAAUCUGCUGAUGCCUUCCUGCAGGACAGGGCCAUGCUUUUGUUCAUGUGCUGGGAUACUAAGGUAAGUCUGCUUCUGCUUUCCUUCAGGACAGAGCUGUGCUUCUGUUCAUUUGUUGGUAAUUGUCCUUCUGUUUUCCUACAGGACAGAGCCAGACAUCUAUUCAACAGCUCAGAUACUAAGGUAAGGCUGCUGAUGUCUUCCUACAGGACAGGGCCAUGCAACUUUUUAUCUCAUGGACACAAAGACAAGUCUCAACGUCUUCAUACAGGAGAGAGCCAUGUAUCUGUUCAUCUGCCUAGGACACAGCCCGGAAUGUAUUCAUCAGCUCAGAUACUAACUAAGGUAGGGAUGCUGAUGUCUUCCUACAGGACAGAGGCAUGCAUACGUUUUCCUGCACAGAUUCUAAGGACAGAUCCAUGCAUGUCUUCAUCUGCUUGGGUAUCAUGAAAGUCUCCUUCCAUCUACCCACAGGACACAGCCAGAAAUCUAUUCAUAAGUUCAGAUACCAAGCAAGGACAGGGCCAUGCAUCUGUUCCUGUGCUGGGAUACUAAGG